rnacentral:tRNA from 1 species
AGAGCUAGAUUAUAUUAAAUUAUAGUCCUAGUAAGUACGACGAAAGUACCUUUUAAUAUCGAAGGUAAUUUUAGCUUGGUUUAGCUGUCAAUUUUAUAAUAAAAGUCUAAAGAAUUCGUAUCAGUAUAUCAAAACUGAUUACUGAAUACUGAAAACUAAGGACUGAGAAAGUCUCAUAGCUCAGCUGGUUAGAGCGCUACACUGAUAAUGUAGAGGUCGGCAGUUCGAGUCUGCCUGAGACUACUUAAAAAAAGGAAAUUUUAGAAGUUGGGAAUUACUUCUCCAUAAGAAGAUGAUUUCUAUUUACUAGAUUUCAUGAAUGGGGGGUUAGCUCAGCUGGCUAGAGCGCCUGCCUUGCACGCAGGAGGUCAUCGGUUCGACUCCGAUAUUCUCCACGAUUCUUUAGGUAUAGACAUCGAUAGAUUACAAAACAACCAAGGAUACUACACAGUAAAUUAGUUUUUGUUUUCAUUGAUUUUAUAUUGUUUGAGAGAAAAACGUUCAUUGACAUAUUGAUAUUAAGAAUACGAGAAAAGCAAAUUAAAGUAAAAGUCUUUAUAUGCUAUUUAUAGUAUAUGAAGCAAAUUGAAUACUCAUUAAAGAGCAAAAAAGUAC